UCUCUCUCUCUCUCUCUCUCUCUCCUCCCUUCGCUCUCUCUUCCUCGCCAUUUGAACAGUCUGUCUAGCCUAUUUUCGCACAAAACUCGUCCUUCCUUCUGCUCACCUGCGUUGUUCUGCUGUUGACAGGGAAAGGGCUUUCCCAUUCUUUCUUCGAGACAGAUGUUAAUCUUCAAAGACCAGAGGGUCGAGCCAUUUUCAUGAAAUACCCAAGUCAAAACACAUUACGAUCUGUCCAAAAAUACUUUCGAUAUUCAGUUCUUGAACGGAUCUAUUUUGACUCAUUUUUUAAAACCCUAGACGAAAAUCCCGCCCAAAAUUGGGACCCAGCAAAACCUAAAUGUUUUUCCAAUAAAUAGUCGGCUUUUGUAAGUCAUUAGGGAGUGGGAGGGGAGCCGCCGAAAUUCUCAAAAAACGAUUCUUUGGAACCGCCUCAAUUUUCCCCUAAAAAUAUUAAUUCACUACUUUCUUGAUAUCGGAAGCGUCGAAUCAUUUGUUUGAUUCUCAUUUUUGCUCCUGUUACUGUUUCGCAUCUGAGUCUAUGCAAACUCAGAGAUUUGAAGUGUUCGAGGGUAUAUCGGAGGCUCGAACCCCACUUCGCUGCACCCGAAGAAGAGUUGGAAUUCAUGUGGUUAAAUUUCAAACAUACGUACCUUAGCUUUCGGUUGGGCUCAUAAUCUGUGACAUGUUAUAACCGUAGAACAUAUAGCUUGUCCUGUCCUGAAAACUGAAACUGCCAUUUUAUUUUUGGGCCUACUGGUUCAGGUUUGCUUCCUUACUUCUUUAAGUUUCUCUUUCUUGCACACUAUAAAAUUAUAUCAUUUUUCUAAUUCUUUUCUUUUUCUUUUCUUUUGCAUGACAUCCGGGAUUGCGAGGAGUCUCAAAUGCGACUCGAUUCCACCGCGAGAUCAAACAAUCCCAUUGCUCCAUUCCGUGUUCCUAGUCCACAAAAUUCGGCUAAAAAAUGAUUGAGAGAGGCUGCUGCGUUUUUAGCAUAUCGUAUAGGUGUUUAUUUAAUUAUGUUUGUAGACGAUUAUUUAACUACUUUAGAAUAAUUAAUUUAGUGGGGGUUAAUUGGGACGUUAGUUACAUAAUAAUGGAAAUCUUUCUUUUUUAUUUA